CUCGCAGACUGCAAUCGAGCCGCAGCGAACCAGUCAAGAGCUCUAGCUGACUCACGAUCUCCUCCAUUGGCGUAAACAACAGGGGAUCAAGCAAUUGGUCUCGAUCGAAGUAAAUGCUUGAUGAAAAUACAUGCAUGGAUCUGCGCACUACAUAUAUUCACGGAAUUACACUCACUCUCCUGCCAAUAACCGAAUCACCAUAAAUCACUGGAGUAAAUCGAUAGCUCAACUUACUGGCCUAUUACCGUAGUGCGGUAAUAAAGCCGUACUGCUAACCUUAUUGGUGUCGUCUUAAUAACAACUUGAUCCAACCUGAAUAACAGAGGGAGUUGAGUUAUGGGAGUUUAAAGCUUCACCCCGAAGCACAGCGCCACUUAUGCACUGCAUGUACUAUGUAUGAAUGCAUAUAUGCAGUUACGUACCUGCACACAGUAAGGAAGAAGAGUGAAAUCGUACUAUGACUUUACGUGACCCAUGAAAAUCGAGGUUGCACCAAGUUCAGCUUCCAGUCGAAGGCUGUAAUCGUUUAAUCGAUUAUUUACUCAGUUCGUAAGAUAAAACAAUGGCGUUCCCAAAGCCAUCAACUUUAUUCGCUGUAUAAUUUUCUCUUUACACCUAUUGGAAAAUCCAGUGUCUACAGAAGAAUACCUUUGCGAGGGUUUGUUAUCGACCUAUGAGAAGGGGUCGGAAUGGAGCACAGCUGGAGAAAUACGACGAGACAGAAAUCCUCUUUAUGCCGACAAAACGCUAAACUACCUCGCAGAGUCAACAGAUACAUUGUAGAGUACAGUGUACGUACUAGGGAAGUUUACGGUUCUGCCCCCUUUACUGGAUAAUCGUACACGUGUACACGAGGUCAUUGUAACAUCUUGUACCACCUAGACCGAAGAAUCGUUUUGGGUGGUUAUCCUGGUACUAUCCUUUCGCAAGCAGUGGCCGUGAAGUUACGAAAUAGUUCGAUCUACAAAACGUGUGGCUGUAUCUCAAAUGUUGAAUGCAACUGCGAUAAGUCUUAAACGCUACACUAAACCGAAUAACGAACGUAAACUGUACAACAAUAAAGUUUGUCUCCGACCAGCACCAGGCGGCAAUAUGAGCGUUUCCAGCUUUUGGAAAUUUCUAACUGACUGUAUAACCGUAUACGGAAUAGCUGAGGUCGAGCCGCAAUGAUGAAUCCGUAUAA